UCUGCGCGGCAGAGACGAGGGGGGAGGAGAGCACGUGACGAGUGUCUCUUUCUCAAUAUGAUGCCCGCGGUCGUGGCGGUGGUGAUAUGCGAGGGCUGUGACAUCGUGGUGGUGCCGUUGCCACGGUAGCCCGGAGGACAGGAGCAGCGGUAGCUCCCGACCUGUAUCCCCUUGCGCUGUGCACUACCGGGAUCCUGCCUUGCCUCCAUCCAUCCACCUACCUUGGCCGACCUUCCCUGCGCCACGGGU